rnacentral:lncRNA from 1 species
AUAUCAACAAAGGAUUUGAGGUCACUUGAGAGGCUGAGGCAGGAGAAUCGCUUGAACCCAGGAGGCGGAGGUUGCGGUGAGCCGAGAUCACGCCAUAGCACUCCAGCCUGGGCAACAAGAGCGAAACUCCAUCUCAAAAAAGAAAAAGAAAUUUAGGAAUUUUAGGAAUCAGUUUUGAAAUUUUGUAUAUAUUCUAAGCUCCUAUUUUAUCUGUUAAUAGAAGCCAAAUGUUAAUAUAAGCCUUAACUCUUAAAUAUACAAACCAAAAUUUUCAGAAAGUUGAAGAUUCUUCAAGAUGAAUUGUUAGGUCUUAACACUAUUAAAGCUUUGGCAGUCAAAUAUACAAAAUCAAACUUUAAGUAUAUUGGGGAUUCACAAAGUUCUAUUAAGUAUUUAGAAAGUUCAGUCUUACUCUAUAGUGUGUUGAUUAAUUACCAUAGAUUAAUCUUGUUAUAUUGACUUGAAAAGAUAGGUUAUAUUUGAUAUAAAAAUUUUCAAGUAUCUCUUCACUUUUUAAGUACAUUAAUAUGAAAUUUUAGCCUUAUUGAAAUUGUUUAUUAAGAAAGAAUGGCUAGUUUUAAAAAUAUGUUCAUACCAAAAUACACAUGGCAGAAAAUUCAGUGAUCUCUAGAAUUUUCUAGAUGUAGUAAUCUCUAAUGGAAGAAAUGCUGAGUUUUUUGAGAGAAAUAUAUAGCUUACUCUGUUGAUAGGUUGAGUAUUUGAAUUAUUCAGGUAACUGAAGCACACAGGUGAUUUUUAUGACCAUAGUCUGUCUCAUGAAAACAGGUAAGUCAAACUGAUGUUUGUUCAAUACAGAUUUCAUGAUCAGCAAGCAAAUUUACCGUAUUUUUAUUUAGAAAUAAAUUAACCAGGGAAGUAUGUGGUUCUCCCUCCCCUACCCACCACUUUUAGUUGCACAGAAAAAUUCAUCCUUGUCACUACCUGUGUCCAGGUGGUCUGCAUCUUCAGAACUGUGGAUAUGGAUAAUUGGAAUAAGAUUACUUUUGCAAAUAUAAAACUCAUCAGAUUACCCACUUGAAAUAAUGUAAUUUGAAACACUUGAUAGUAAUUUUUGCCCCAUAAAAAUCCUACGUGUUUGAACCUUUUGCUGUUUGCCUUGCUCAUUUUAAAACCAAAGUUUGUUUAGUCCUAUAGCUAAUGUUUGUCAUAGGCAGCAUUUGUUACAAAAUGAUUUUACUAAUUUUUCACUUGAAUUUUUUUCUGAAAUACAGUCUGUCCUAUUGGUGCUAGCCGAGAAACAAUUACAUGCAAAUUUAGUGUAAUAGAAAGUCACUGACCAAACAAAUUCAGUUUGGUACUCUGUUGACUAAGUGGUCAUAAAGUUCCUGUGUGUUUUGCAUGAUGAUGUGAGUACCAAGCCACCCUUCGUUUUUAAGACCCCAAUUGUAUAUGGCUUCACUGCUGAGAGUGGUACGGUGUACACAAUUAUUUUUCUUAUAAGAAUUUUGUAAAUUAUUUUUACUUUAAGAGAAUCUCCAUUUACCCAUUCCUCUGUUUCAGUCAUUCUGAAUUUCUGACCAAAUUUAUUUGAGCUGUACUCCAUGCACCCCUUUCCACUCUUUCUGAAACAAGUCUCAGGCAUCAUUUUAUUUUAUCCAUAAAUAGGUUAUCUUUUUUUUUUUUUUUUUUUUUUUUUGAGACGGAGUCUUGCUCUGUCGUCCAGGCUGGAGUGCAGUGGCCCCAUCUCAGCUCACUGCAAGCUCCGCCUCCCAUGUUCACACCAUUCUGCCUCAGCCUCCCGAGUAGCUGGGACUACAGAAUCACUUGAACCCAGGAGGCGGAGGUUGCAGUGAGCCGAGAUUUCGCCAUUGCAUUCCAGCCUGGCGACACAGCGAAACUCCGUCUCAAAAAAAAAAUAAAUAAGUAGUUGAUUCUAAAUGGAGAGUCUAGUUGUUUUCUGAUUUUUAAUCAGUUUUCUUACCUGAAGUUAUUGUAGGCUUGAGAGAUAUUGGAUCUCUUUCAAAUUCAUAAGUAGCUUGAGCCUGUAUAACUAGAACAGAGUACCACUACAGAGGUAAUGAAGUACGGAGAUAGGUCCACUUUUCAGGAAGAUGGUGAUAAGCAUUGAUUAAUCCUUUGAUUUGGAGUUGGCAAAUAACCAAGCAGGCAGUUGGAGAUAGAGAUUUAAAGUAAGGAAAUGGAAGCUGAACUAGAUGCCAGAGGAUGCCCUAUAAUCAGAGUUCCUUUUGUUGGUCAGUAAUUUUGUAAUACAUACUGCUUGAAAUAAGUUGACUGCAGGCUAUGAUUUUUUUAAUGAUACAGCUUUCAGGGUGUUACAGUUUUUGUUGAAUGGAAUUUUGCCCUUUUGUGACUUUUUUCAGUCAUUGUUUAAAUCUCAAUCACAUAGAACUUAAAAUGAAAAGUUAGUGUUGCUUUAUCAAACCCUUUACAUUGACCUUUCUUCUGCUAAGAAAUACCAGAGUAAGCUUUUCUUGAUUAUAACAUGCCUAGAAUUGUAAUUUAGCCUUAACCUUACUAGAUUUAAAUCCUGGAGCAAAGAACAGAAAAAGGUUAUUAUGGUCUAAGUUUGUUAUAAAAUUUAAACCAAUAAUGGAUCUCCAAUUCCAUAGUUUUAAAAAUAUUUAUACAGUCAUAUGAGAGAUGGCAAAUAAUCUGAAGUUUUUAAUCACUUUGGAAUUUACUAACCCCUUUGAGAAUAUAAUGAAAGCCGAGAAAUCUCUCUCCUUAGAAAAUAGAAUAAGUUCAUAUUCAGAAUUGUGCAUAAAAUUUCAAGGGGUUCAUGGACAUCCCCAUCCCAUUUCCGUCUUUGGCCUAUCUUGGGAAUCUAUGGAAUGACUACAGGUUUAAGAAGGUGAAAUUAAGGCUCAAAGAGGUGAAUUGAUAUCACCAAGCUGCAUACCUACUUAUUGCUAGAGUCAAAAGCAAAACUGGGUUCUUAUCUCCCAUAAGGAAGAUUUAACCUUGGGAAGUUCUUAUUCAGUCUCCUGUUAAGAUCUGAAUGUAGGCUACUUAAUGACUAAAUUUUACUGAUUUUUUUUUCUAUACCUUUUCAAAAGAUCCACGUUUUGUGUUCUCAGAUUUUGUGAUGCCUACCAUCCUAUUAGGUAGAAAAGGGAAAAUGUGAUAUUUUAUUGUGUUUUAAUUAUUUCUACAUCACCUGGCUUGAUGUAGAAGACUAAAACUUAGGUUAGUGAAAAAGAGUAUUAACUUUGAAGUCAGAAGACAUAGUCAUAGCCAUAGACAAAGCCAUGGGUUUCUGAAACAAGUGUGAAAUGAAAUGUAAACAAAAUCACUUAGCUUAUUUUGUGGAAGCUUAUUUAAAGAAAUCUAUACUUAGGUUUUGUGUAGACACAUUAGAGAGAGAGAAUCAGAAUGCUGGGUUAAGUGGGGAGAUGGGGGAUGGAAUUCUGAAAGUGGGAGCAGCAUAGUGAGUAGAGGAGCUGGCGUGCGUGUAGUACAAUGUCAAAAGAUGAAGCCAUAGAAAGGAGAGAUAAGUAUGCAAUUUUGAUAACUUUAGUAAUGUAGUAAUAUAAUUUGAUCAUUUUAAUGUAUAGGCAGUUGAAGGGCUCAAGGGAUUGAUGAACGAUCACUCUGCUACAUAGGGGAAAGACAAGGAUGUCAAGAAGAGGACACUAAUGCAAUAGUCUCAGAAAUAGAGACUGAACUAGGAGGAUGAUGGCAGUAGGGAUGAAGAUUGGAGUGAUCUGCAAAUGUAUUUAGGAAAUAAAAACAUCAGGACAAGGAUAGCUAUCAGAUUUCUUUGGCUUAAGUCACCAGGUUCAAUUUUAAAUAUGUUGAUAGUGCCUGUGGGACAUUCAGGUGAUGGUGAUGUUCAGAGGUGGGAAUAUACACAAGCAUGACACUUGGGUAGCCAGGGUGGGGACCCUAUUGGAGUCAACAGCAUUUAAGCUGUAGAGUAGGAGCAGCACAGAGCAAGGGGAGGAUCUUGGAGGCUACCAACGGCUAAGCUAUAACUACAUAGAGUACUGAAAUUCUGAGAAGGGAAGCUGGGGAGGGAAGCAAAUAAUAAAGCAUUUAAAAUGUCACAUUUAGGAAUUUGGAAGAGCUUUAAAUGGGGUAAGAUAAUACUAAGGGCUGUAGUUCAGAAAGAUCAGUAAUUGGCUACAAUGUAGAGAAAUUGUGGUGAUGCCAAACUGCAUGAUUGUAUUGUUUUUCUCCAGUAGUACUCAGCUCCCAACAAAGAAUUGAGUAUGGCAUCAAGCCAGGAUGCGGGGAUAGCUCUAGUUGAAGAGCUAGAUUCAGAGAAAAUGGAAGAAUCCAAGCUCAGAAGUCUCCAUGAAGUGGGAGAGCAAGUAUGAGUGUGAGCAGCAGAUGUGGAAUAAUUGGAUGAUAUGAUCAGAGAAAGGGAUGUAAGAGAUUCCUGAGAGCAGUUCUGGGUGCAAGGUAUAGAGUGUGGCCUUGGGAAUUAAUUAGUAAAGUGAAGAGUUGCAUUGUGGAGAUCAAGGAAUCACAUGGUACAUUCUAUACUCCUUUCCUGAGCUAAAACAAUGGCUUAUUCUUUCUUUGGUACUGACACUGGUUUAUUAUCUUUAGUUUUUGCAGAUUCCAUCAUUUGACAAGUAUUUGCUGAGUGCCUACUAUGAGCUGUGCUGCACCCAUUGGCAGUAAGUUUGCAUUCCAGUAGUGGAGACAGGAAAUGACCACAAAGUACACAAUUUAAUAACAACUGAGAUGUGUGCUUGAAAGGAAAAGUAAUAGAAGCCAGGAGAGUAUGUAGCACUGACAUAGUCUGGAUGGUUGAGGGAGAUCAGAAAGGCUUCCUUCUCCAAGUGAAACAUUCUCAGAUAAAGCAGGACAUGCAACAGACAUAACAGAUACCAAAUAAUGUCUGAACUAUUGAGAAAUAGGAAAUGAUUUUUGUUUUAAAUUGCAGGCUGGGUGCAGUGGCUCAUGCCUAUAAUCCCAACACUUUGGGAGGCUACGGCAGGCAGAUCACUUGAGCUCAGGAGUUCAAGACCAGCCUGAGCAACAUAGCAAAUCUCUUUCUCUACAAAAAAAAAUACAAAAAUUAGCUGGGCAUGGUGAUAUGCACCUGUGGUCCCAUCUACUCAAGAAGCUGAGGUAGGAAGAUCACUGGAGCCAGAGAGGUUGAGUCUGCAGCGAGCUGUGAUGUGCCACUGCACUCCAGCCUGUCUCAAAAAAAAAAAAAAAAUUGCUCCCACAUUUUAUUCCUUAGGGACAUGGUGGUUGAGCUUUAAGGUAUGAAGGGGAAAUAGUUGAAGGGAGGGGGAAGCAAGGAGAGUGUCCCAAACAGAUGACCAAGCACUUACAAAGGCCCUGGAUAAAGUAGCAUGUGGCCCUCAGAAGCUUCACAGUUCCUACGAAUGGCGGAGAACAAAUGAGAGAAUGAUGAAGGCAAUGAAAUAGGGGCUGAUUCAUGCUUCUGUAGGCCGUGUUAAGGAUGUCCUAUGAACAACAGAGCGCCAUUAAAGAGAUUAAGAUACCUGGGGCUGGAAUAGGGAUUUGUAUUUGUAGAAUUCAAUUUGUGUUUCUAAAAGAUCACUGACUACGACCUAUAGAAUGAUUGGAGCAGGGUCAUAGUGUUCCAUGUGAGAGAUGACAAUAACUUGGGCUGGGGGGUGGUAGUAGUGGAGGGAGGGUAGUGGCCUCAUUUGUUUGGAAAGUUAAGUCAGUCACGUAUCUUUGGUUAUUAUAAUUUAAAUUGUAAUAAGGAGAUAACAAGUAUGAACUUCCUUAGUAAAAUCAGAUGAGUGAAGCCAGCCUUCCUGGGUUGCAUCCACAUAGGAGAAAACAUGACUUACUCCUCGUUCUUCUGGAGAAUGGCCCAUGAGGGAACAACCAUCAUUUUAAGUGAAGAAUCUAAAUAUAUUACAUUAUCCAGAAAGGAGAAAAGUAGUCUAGGUGGAUUCCUGCAUAACUGUAAAAAGUCAACUGAAUCUUUAACAUUUUGCCAUUUAUAAAAUUCAAAGUAAUUUCAAGACAAUUAAUGAAGGUUUUAACUCAAUAAAGUUUGUUACUUAAUAGUUUGAUUUUGCUAAUUAAAGAAAGAAUACCUUAUCCCAUCUCUCUCCAUCUAGUCCUUUGUAGAGGCAACCACUUUAAAUUCUUAGCUCUUUCUUUGGGUCAUUUAUAUUUCUAAAGAAUAUACUGUUACAAUUUGUUAACCCUAGACCUUACAUAUUGAAUUAUAUUAUGAUCUGUUGACUUUUUUAUGAUAGGUAAGGACUUGGCUCUCAUGUCCUUCCCCUCUCCUCCCAAUAUGGAUAUAUUUAAUGAGAAUUUAUAUAAUAUAAAACAACUAUGUAAAUAUUGUUUAAUCAGAGCCAACACUUAGUGUACUAUAAAUACAUGUUCCUGUAUAUGAUGUUUUCUUGUGUACUUUAAUUCCUUUGGAAUGUUCUUUUAUAUCAUUCGCUCUUUGGAGUCUUCCCCCACCCUCUUCCUCUAUCCCAGCCCCUCCUCCCCAUUAGUUUUGUAUCAAUGUGGAUUCGUUUUCCAGGGCUGCUGCAAAGUUGUUCCAGACUUUUCCUUCCCCAUUUCUGGCUGGAUCCAGAGUCCAUCUCUGGCAUCCAUACUUUUGUCCUUUUAGCUUAAAAUUCUCGGUUUGCUUGAGCAUAUCCUGCCAUAACUUCCUAAGAAUAGGUGCAUGGGGACAAAGUUUUCGAAUUAUUGGAUGUCUGAAAACGUCUUUAGUCUCAUGAUUGAUAGCCGGGUCUAGAAUUCUAAGUUGAAAAGUUUCCCUUUGAAAGCUUCUCAUAGUCUCCUAGCCUGUGCUGUUGCUGUUAAGUGGACUGAUACAAUUAUGAUUUUUGUUCUUUUGUAUACGAUCUGUGUUUCCCCUCUCUAGAAGACUUUAGGAUAUUUUUUGUAUUUCUGGUAUUCUAAAAUUUCAUAGCGAUGUCCCUUAAUGUGAAUCUUUUUUAAAAAACUCAUUUUGCAGCUGGGCACCAUGGCUCACACCUGUUAUCCUAGCCCUUUGUGAGGCUGAGGUGGGAGGAUUGCUUGAAGCCAAGAGUUCAAAACCAGCCUGGACAACAAAGCAAGAUCCCAUCUCUAUUGUUUUAAUAAAAUUAAUAAAAUUCAUUUUGCAGGGUGUGUUGUAGGCUUAUUUAAUCUGUGUCCUUAGCUCUGGAGAAUUUUCUUUACUAACUAACUUUCUCCCCUUUAGUUUAUUUGUCCUCUUAAAUCUGUAGAUACUGUUCCUUUUAGACUAAUUUUCUCAGCUAUGUUUUUUGCUCUUCCCUGCCCCCUUUCCUUUUUGGCUCUGUCUUCUUUGAGAGGAGUUUUCCUACAUUAUCUUAUCUUUUAACUCUAAUAUUAAAUAAUUCAUUACAACUAUAUAUUUUAAAUUUUGAAGGUUUUUUCUUGUUCUCUGAUUGCUCCCUUCAUAUAGCAACUUUUAUUUUAUGAAUAAAUAUACCACCUUCUCAUAUCAUCUAUUUGUUAGAUUAGAAAGUAGAAUUUUCAGCUGGGUGUGGUGGCUCACACCCGUAAUCCCAGCACUUUGGGAGGCC